UCAUUCGUGCUUGAGGUUGCGAUAGGAUUUACUGUUGCUUUCAGCUUAUUGAAACCUAUUAAAGGAAGACAUUAUUUGCAAGCCAACCUGGACCCAUUAGCAUAUUUUAAUCAUCGGGAGAGAAAACGAGAAUGGCCUGUGCUAUGGAUAUGAAAUGAAGACAUUAAUUGACUGAAUGAUUAAGAUAUGGAAGUUUACUAGUGUAAGCUUCAACACAAAUAGGUUGGAUCUUGUUUCAGAAUAAUCAGUUUUUGAGCAUACAUGUGCCUCUCAACAAUGAUUUCUUCUGUCAGUAAAUAAGAUAAUGCCAAAUGUACCGACGGAUUUUAAGGCUAACCUGGCGGAAGCUAAAAAGCAUUUAGUAACUCACUCUGCGUAUGUAUUCAUUACUUCUGUUUGCAUGCACAGAUUACAAAUAUAUUUGAGCAUUGCCAUUUAAUCUGAAAUCAACUUUUUAAUAUGAGAUUACACAUUUAUAUCUUUAAACUGCUGCCAUUUUAUCUUGUAUAUUUUUAUGUAAUUGGUAUUGGCCUGGAGCGGAGACAAAUAAAUGUGAGAUCUUGGAUUGUGAAAGUUAUUUAGCUCUUUUGUUAGACUUGUAGGGAGAGUGAAGUCUAC